AAGAAUAGCUAAUACCGGAUAACAACAAGAUGAUGCCUAUCAACUGUUUAAAAGUAAUGGUUCUGCUAUCACUCUUGGAUGGACCUGCGGUGCAUUAGCUAGUUGGUAGGGUAACGGGCCUACCAAGGCGAUGAUGCAUAGCCGAGUUGAGAGACUGAUCGGCCACAUUGGGACUGAGACACGGCCCAAACUCCUACGGGAGGCAGCAGGU
rnacentral:rRNA from 1 species